UUGCGGUUAAAACGCUCGUAGUUGGAGAUCUGUCAAAAAUACUGGUCCGCCCUCGUGGUGAGUACAUGGUAAGUUUUUGUCAUCAUCUUGGGGAACUUGUUUGCACUUUACUGUGUGACUUGAGAUCCAGGACUUUUACUUUGAGGAAAUGAGAGUGUUUCAAGCAGGCGGAAGCCCUGAAUACGUUAGCAUGGAAUAAUAGCAUCGGAUCUCCUUCCAAAGCUGUUGGUUCAUUGGAAAGAGGUAAUGGUAAACAGGGAUAGUUGGGGGCAUUCGUAUUUAACUGUCAGAGGUGAAAUUCUUGGAUUUGUUAAAGACGAACUACCGCGAAAGCAUCAGCCAAGGAUGUUUUCAUUGAUCAAGAACGAAAGUUAGGGGAUCGAAGACGAUCAG
rnacentral:rRNA from 1 species